UCCUUCACAGAGGUUUUCAUGAACCAGACAGAGAUCAUCACCAUAGCGUUCUGCUGCUUCCUUCUUCUCAUGUUGGCAGUUGGUGUGGCAUGUGUUUACAGGAUGUUCGACCACAACCAAGCUCAUGCCCACAUUGCUGAGACAAAGUAAGCUUUAUCCCUAUGGACCUUAGAAAGUUGAUUGUUUCUGUGAUUAAAACCAACCCGAUAAACCCUGUUUGUACCUUCUCAUGUCAGUUCUGAUCCACUUCUUCUGACUGCACCCUCGUCCCAGUCGGGAGACAGGCAGGCCGGGGUCUCCUCUGCAGACUGUGACUGUGUCCUGAGUCAGACCAUGGAGAUCACAGUAUGACACGGCAUGAAGAUCCUGCACCUCUCGAAUCAUCACAUCCAUCACUUUGUGCAAAUAUUUAAUUUGAAUAUUGCAACUUGUUCUAUGCAUUCAGUACUUUUCCUGACUUGUAAAGUUACUUAUAAGAGA